ensembl:rRNA 5S_rRNA 5S ribosomal RNA
ACAGACAGCCAUAUCACCCCCCAGCCCAAUACUGGGUACUUUACUGAAGCUAAGCAGGGCUGAGCCUGGUCAGUACCUGGAUGGGAGACCACAUGGGGAAACUAGGUUGCUGUUGGAA